AGAGUUCGAUCCUGGCUCAGGGCGAACGCUAGCGGCGCGCCUAACACAUGCAAGUCGUGCGGGAAAGGGCUUCGGCCCUAGUACCGCGGCAGACGGGUGAGUAACACGUGAGCAACCUGUCCCCGGGUCUGGGAUAACCACCCGAAAGGGUGGCUAAUACCGGAUAAAGUCACCGGGCGCAAGCUCGGUGAUGAAAGGGGGCCUCUGCAUAGCAAGCUCCUGCCUGGGGAGGGGCUCGCGGCCCAUCAGCUAGUUGGUGGGGUAACGGCCCACCAAGGCUAUGACGGGUAGCCGGCCUGAGAGGGUGGUCGGCCACACGGGCACUGAGACACGGGCCCGACUCCUACGGGAGGCAGCAGUGGGGAAUCUUGGGCAAUGGGCGAAAGCCUGACCCAGCGACGCCGCGUGGGGGAAGAAGGCCUUCGGGUCGUAAACCCCUGUUCUGGGGGAAGAACCCUGAACGGGUUAAUAGUCCGUUCAGGCUGACGGUACCCCAGGAGAAAGCCACGGCUAACUGCGUGCCAGCAGCCGCGGUAAUACGCAGGUGGCGAGCGUUGCCCGGAAUCACUGGGCGUAAAGGGUGCGUAGGCGGCAGGGCAAGUCGCGGGUUAAAGCCCGGGGCUCAACCCCGGAAAGGCCUGCGAUACUGCCUUGCUUGAGGGCCGGAGAGGCUGGCGGAAUUCCCGGUGUAGGGGUGAAAUCCGUAGAUAUCGGGAGAAACACCGGUGGGGAAGCCGGCCAGCUGGACGGUUCCUGACGCUGAGGCACGAAAGCGUGGGGAGCAAACCGGAUUAGAUACCCGGGUAGUCCACGCCGUAAACGAUGGGUGCUAGGUCUGGGGAGGAAACUCUCUGGGCCGAAGCUAACGCGUUAAGCACCCCGCCUGGGGAGUACGGCCGCAAGGCUGAAACUCAAAGGAAUUGACGGGGGCCCGCACAAGCGGUGGAGCACGUGGUUUAAUUCGAUGCAAAGCGAAGAACCUUACCUGGGCUUGACAUGCCAGGGUUGUACCCCGGUGGAAACACUGGGGGAGCGUGGGUUUUUACUCACGCGCUCUGGCACAGGUGCUGCAUGGCUGUCGUCAGCUCGUGCCGUGAGGUGUUGGGUUAAGUCCCGCAACGAGCGCAACCC
rnacentral:rRNA from 1 species